CCUACGGGAGUCAGCAGUGAGGAAUAUUGGUCAAUGGGCGGGAGCCUGAACCAGCCAAGUCGCGUGAGGGAAGACGGUCCUCUGGAUUGUAAACCUCUUUAGGCGGGGAGCAAUGCCUGGCACGCGUGCCCGGAGGGAGAGUACCCGCAGAAUAAGCAUCGGCUAACUCCGUGACAGCAGCCGCGGUCAUACGGAGGAUGCUAGCGUUAGCCGUAUUUAUUAGGUUUAAAGGGUGCGUAGGCGGAUUUUUAAGUCAGCGGUAAAAUGUCCGGGCUCAACCCGUGCCGGCCGUUGAAACUGGGGAUGUUGAGUGGGCGAGAAGUAUGCGGAAUGCGUGGUGUAGCGGUGAAAUGCAUAGAUAUCACGCAGAACUCCGAUUGCGAAGGCAGCAUACCGGCGCCCGACUGACGCUGAGGCACGAAAGCGUGGGGAUCGAACAGGAUUAGAUACCCCUGUAGUC
rnacentral:rRNA from 1 species